GGGCCGCGGCGCGCGGAAGCCACUUUGCACGGUCAGCGCCGGCCACAAGUUUGUUCCUCGGCUCCCGGGGGCCUCCGCGCAGAGGGAGAAUAACGCGGAGGGGGCUGAGAGGAGGGGGAGAGGGGAGGCGCCGAGGGGCAAAAGAGUGGGGAAAAGUGCGAAAAGAAGCAACAGCCGCUCCACCCGGGACCAGAAAAGUGGCCAGCCGCGUCCCGACCGCCCGCCCUGCGCCGGGGAUGCGGCGGCUAACGGUCCAAGGAGGCGGCAGGGGCGGCAGGAGCCGCUAGGCGGAGAGAGACCAGGUCCAUAGUGACUCUGGACAUGGGGUUCACAAAGAGACAAAAGGGGCCCAUGGUCGUUCAACUGCUGCAGUUCCACCACAUUCUACAGUUGCUGAGUCAGGAAGGAAACAUGACUACAGAGUGAUCCAGAACCGACAGCUGUCUUUAGGACCCACACCAGCAUUUCUAAUAAAGCCUCCCAGGAGUUGUUAUUUGAAGAACCAAGUGUGUAUGCAUGAAAACAUUAUGACCAUUUCCUCUUGGUUUAAAUCAACUCCAAGAUAACUGUAAAAAAAUAUGAAAUCCUCACCAAGAAGCCUGUGACUUCCCAAAGACAGUGGAAGAAGCCCUAUGGUUCUAGAGAAACUCAAGACCAAAGCUACUGACGGACUUCCUCACUGAGGAGGCACAGCCUGGAAUAUUCCUCUGAACACUCAAGUCAUGUUGGGAAGAAGAUCAGGUCUUUCUAACUUGCCCAUUAAUGUAUAUGAAUUACUUAAUUCCACAACAUUCUCUGAGUGGCUUCUAUUUGAAAAGAGCUGUAUCAGGAACUGGAAAUGUAAAAACACUGUACAAUGUAGAAGGUAUAAUUGGAUAAGGACAUAAGUUACUACAAUGCAAAAUUAAAUCAGAGGCAGAUUUAGCGUAAAGUGAAUGAAGCUCUAGUGUCAGUGCCUGUUACUUACAUGGGCCCCUUCUGAUGCUCUGGGAGAAACCUUAUGAACCUUUAUGUGGUCAUACAUUUUGGUAAACUUUACCUAAGUGAGAAUUAAAACAAACAAAUGAACAAACUCCAGCUAAACUGUCUACUUUCCCUACUGUUGAAAUGCCAAGGUCAUUUUUGAGUCCCAGAAAACAAAUUGUAUUGAGGACACGUUUAGUUGAGUUUAUUGAAAUAUAUGUAUGGGUCUCAUAAGUACUUUGUUUCAGAAUGACCUGAUUGCCAGCUGCACUCAUGUAGGAGUAAUUCCUAGAAACAUGUUACUCCCCCUGUGCUGGUUCAUUGGGUUCAUAGCUUAUUGGUAUAGAACAGAGGCUUUACCGUGACAGAAACAUGCCUGGUGGCACUCAGCACAGGAAGUAGAUGUGUACUGGAGGAGACACCAGGGUUUGAAGUGUAUGUGGCAAGAAAAUAGUCUGUGGAGAAUUCUUCUAAUCAGACAUGUAAAGCUGUAAAUGGAGGAUUUGGUUCUCAACAGUGCCUGGUCAGGAAUAUUCUUAAUAACACAACAUGAGCCGGUAUUCACUUAUACCUGCACCAGUUUUUCUGAAGCACAACCUGGUGGCAGAACUAUAAGAGUGAGUCCAUCUAUAUGAGAAGUUGUAUAUUCUAUUAAUUCCAAUUAUCAACAAUAAAAAAUGUGACCAGACAUUA